rnacentral:rRNA from 1 species
CUCCUUUGACGUUAGCGGCGGACGGGUGAGUAACACGUGGGUAACCUACCUAUAAGACUGGGAUAACUUCGGGAAACCGGAGCUAAUACCGGAUAAUAUUUCGAACCGCAUGGUUCGAUAGUGAAAGGUGGUUUUGUUAUCACUUAUAGAUGGACCCGCGCCGUAUUAGCUAGUUGGUAAGGUAACGGCUUACCAAGGCGACGAUACGUAGCCGACCUGAGAGGGUGAUCGGCCACACUGGAACUGAGACACGGUCCAGACUCCUACGGGAGGCAGCAGGG